UGGGGAAUAUUGGACAAUGGGCGAAAGCCUGAUCCAGCCAUGCCGCGUGUGUGAAGAAGGUCUUCGGAUUGUAAAGCACUUUAAGUUGGGAGGAAGGGCAGUUACCUAAUACGUGAUUGUUUUGACGUUACCGACAGAAUAAGCACCGGCUAACUCUGUGCCAGCAGCCGCGGUAAUACAGAGGGUGCAAGCGUUAAUCGGAAUUACUGAGCGUAAAGCGCGCGUAGGUGGUUAGUUAAGUUGGAUGUGAAAUCCCCGGGCUCAACCUGGGAACUGCAUUCAAAACUGACAAGCUAGAGUAUGGUAGAGGGUGGUGGAAUUUCCUGUGUAGCGGUGAAAUGCGUAGAUAUAGGAAGGAACACCAGUGGCGAAGGCGACCACCUGGACUGAUACUGACACUGAGGUGCGAAAGCGUGGGGAGCAAACAGGAUUAGAUACCCUUGUAGUCCCUGAGCGGGCUGGCAAGGCGCAU
rnacentral:rRNA from 1 species